rnacentral:rRNA from 1 species
AUGAACGCUAGCGACAGGCUAACACAUGCAAGUCGAGGGGUAACAGGGUAGCAAUACCGCUGACGACCGGCGCACGGGUGAGUAACGCGUAUGCAACCUGCCUAUAACUGGGGAAUAGCUCCCUGAAAGGGGGAAUUAACACCGCAUAACACUAUUGAUUCGCAUGGAUUGGUAGUUAAAUGUAGCGAUACAGGUUAUAGAUGGGCAUGCGUGACAUUAGCUAGUUGGCGAGGUAACGGCUCACCAAGGCUACGAUGUCUAGGGGUUCUGAGAGGAAGGUCCCCCACACUGGUACUGAGACACGGACCAGACUCCUACGGGAGGCAGCAGUGAGGAAUAUUGGUCAAUGGGCGCAAGCCUGAACCAGCCAUGUCGCGUGCAGGAAGAACCUGCCCUAUGGGUUGUAAACUGCUUUUAUAGUAGAAGAAACACAUCUACGCGUAGAUGUCUGCCAGUAUACUAUGAAUAAGCAUCGGCUAACUCCGUGCCAGCCGCCGC